rnacentral:rRNA from 1 species
GUACGGGAGGCAGCAGGCGCGAAAACUCUACAAUGCAGGCAACUGCGAUAGGGGAACAUCGAGUGGCACCCACCAUGGGUGUCUGUCCAGCCGUCUAAAAAACGGCUGUUAGCAAGGGCCGGGCAAGACCGGUGCCAGCCGCCGCGGUAAUACCGGCGGCUCGAGUGGUGGCCGAUAUUAUUGAGUCUAAAGGGUCCGUAGCCGGCUUUGCAAGUCCCCUGGGAAAUCCAGCGGCUUAACCGUUGGGCUUUCAUGGGAUACUACAUUGCUUGGGACUGGGAGAGGUAGGAGGUACUCAGGGGGUAGGGGUGAAAUCCUGUAAUCCUCUGGGGACCACCGGUGGCGAAGGCGUCCUACCAGAACAGGUCCGACGGUGAGGGACGAAAGCUAGGGGCACGAACCGGAUUAGAUACCCGCGUAGUCCC